rnacentral:rRNA from 1 species
UUAUACUUAGUGGCGGACGGGUGAGUAACGCGUGGGCAACCUGCCCCGUGCCGGGGGAUACCGCCUGGAAACAGGCGCUAAUACCGCAUAAGCGCAUACAGCCGCAUGGCAGUAUGCGGAAAGCUCCGGCGGCACGGGAUGGGCCCGCGCCCGAUUAGCCAGUUGGCGGGGUAACGGCCCACCAAAGCGACGAUCGGUAGCCGGCCUGAGAGGGCGGACGGCCACAUUGGGACUGAGACACGGCCCAAACUCCUACGGGAGGCAGCAG